rnacentral:tRNA from 1 species
AUUUAAAUAGCUUAAUUAGAGCAUAACAUUGAAGAUGUUAGGGUAAUAUUUAUAUUUUUAAGUG